rnacentral:rRNA from 1 species
UACGUAGGGGGCGAGCGUUGUCUGGAAUUAUUGGGCGUAAAGAGCUUGUAGGCGGUCUGUCGCGUCUGCUGUGAAAAUCCGGGGCUCAACCCCGGACUUGCAGUGGGUACGGGCAGACUAGAGUGUGGUAGGGGAGACUGGAAUUCCUGGUGUAGCGGUGAAAUGCGCAGAUAUCAGGAGGAACACCAGCGGCGAAGGCGGCGCUCUGGGCUGGAACUGACGCUGAGGAGCGAAAGCGUGGGGAGCGAACAGG